UGAUGCCAGGGUCAAAAGGUCUAAGACCACAUGAGCUUGCUCAUAAGUGGGUGAAAGACCUUGAGACCCGCCCCGAUAUGAGCAUAAAAGUGGGAUGUAUAUCCCACGAUAUGCGAAUAUUGGGCAGGAUUGCGGGAGUGCGCAGCACGGAACAAUCCGCAGGCAUCA
rfam:Lachnospiraceae bacterium COE1 genomic scaffold acPFN-supercont1.4, whole genome shotgun sequence.